UAAAUGAAAAAUAUAUUGAAAAGGGUAUAAUUUAUUGAAGUUUGAUAUUGAUUUUAAUUACUUUCUAAGCCGCACACUAAAGCAUGGGCAAGAAAGACAAGAAUAAGGAACCGGCGGAUGCUGCAGCAGCUGGCGAUGCACCCCCCGUUGAUGGCCCACCGGCGGGUGAGGGCGGCGAUGGUGAGAUUGUGGGCGGACCACGCAAUCCCCAACAAAUUGCGGCACAGAAGCGCUUGCAACAAACGCAAGCCCAAGUCGAUGAGGUCGUAGACAUUAUGCGCACGAAUGUGGAGAAAGUGCUGGAGCGAGAUGCCAAGCUGUCGGAGCUGGAUGAUCGUGCCGAUGCCUUGCAGCAGGGUGCCUCGCAGUUCGAGCAGCAGGCUGGCAAACUAAAACGAAAAUUCUGGUUGCAAAACUUGAAGAUGAUGAUCAUUAUGGGCGUUAUUGGACUGGUCAUUGUUGGCAUCAUCGCAAAACCUUUCAUGUCGGAUGAUGCUGCUGCUUCGCCAUCUCCUGCUUUGCAGCAGGUUCAUGCAUCCGCACCAGCAACAGCAUCAGCAUCAGAAUCAGCACCACUACCACCACAACAACCACCACACCACACACUCAAAUCCGAACCACCACCAACGACACUUGAGAAAACUCCAUUGGCUGAGAAAUUGACCGAUGACCCACCGAGUCCAACGGAUGACGUGGCGACUGGACAAUAAUUACGCUCAUAAACAACAAUAUAAUAUGAACAACAACAAUUACAACCAAAAAACCAACAGCACUACAACAACAAGAACAACAUGAAAGAAAUUCAAAAAAAUAACUGCAAUUGAACCAGAUCAAAAAAAGACAUUACACACUCAAUUCAAACCAUUCGCAAAAACAAAACUAUCGAACACUACAAGCUGGGCCUCAUAGGCGGUGAGCAGCCGCCGCAGUAUCCACAGUAUCCGCAGUAUAUGCCACCACCACCACCGCA